rnacentral:lncRNA from 1 species
GGUUCACUAAUCUGCCUGUUUCAGGAUUGUGCUCUUGUGUGAUUACUUGUUUUACUCUGAAAAUAUACUGAGUAAGUCUGUUGUGCAGAUUCCAUAUGAGAUAUGGAUCGGGCAUAGACCUAGACUCUCUCACCUUUGGAUUUGGAGUUGAUCGGCCUAUGUCAAAAGUUUGCAUACAGAUAAACUUGGUUCAUGGUCCAGUAGGUGUUUAAGGGUUACUAAUUCUAUCAUGCUGAAGAACAUAAGAUGCUCAUCAGCAGUAGGAUAUUUCUUUUAGAAAGGAGUUCCUUAGAGAAGGAACUGAUGCCUAUCAAGUUGAACUUGAAAGUUUGAUUGAUAGAAAAUGAACCGAUAUAAUCUAGUAAACCUACAGAAUCAGAUUUGAUUAGAUCAAAUUUGGAGCCCAUUAAAGUAAAUGCAAUGCAGUGGUCUAACUCUGAGAAGUGGCUUGGAGCCAUUAAAUCCAAUUUGAAGUCCAUGAAAUCAAUAGUGUAUGGACACUAGAUGAUUCACCUUAAGGAAUAAAACCCAUUGGGUGUGAAUGAAUUUUUCAAAAGGAUCAGAGUAGCAC